CCUACGGGGGGCAGCAGUGGGGAAUAUUGGACAAUGGGGGGAACCCUGAUCCAGCGACGCCGCGUGAGUGAAGAAGUAUUUCGGUAUGUAAAGCUCUAUCAGCAGGGAAGAAAGAAAUGACGGUACCUGACUAAGAAGCCCCGGCUAACUACGUGCCAGCAGCCGCGGUAAUACGUAGGGGGCACGCGUUAUCCGGAUUUACUGGGUGUAAAGGGAGCGUAGACGGCGAUGCAAGUCUGAAGUGAAAGGCGGGGGCCCAACCUCCGGACUGCUUUGGAAACUGUAUGGCUGGAGUGCAGGAGAGGUAAGUGGAAUUCCUAGUGUAGCGGUGAAAUGCGUAGAGAGUAGGAGGAACACCAGUGGCGAAGGCGGCUUACUGGACUGUAACUGACGUUGAGGCUCGAAAGCGUGGGGAGCAAACAGGAUUAGAUACCCUGGUAGUC
rnacentral:rRNA from 1 species